CGGUAUCGCCUUACCUCCCGUGUCACACACUGACCCCUACAGCGGUUGCGCAUAGCCACUCUGCUGCAUUUUUUGAAUAUGCUGGGAGGGAGGCAGCUAGCAGAAUUUAGGGGUUUAGUUACACUUCAAAAUCUCAUUCACACACAAAAACAUCACACACGUGUCAUUUAACAAGCUAGUUUAAUAUGGAAAUAUUUGCGCAAGUAACGUCUUGUCUUGUUUAGACAACAUGAAAAUGCGUGUUAACGUAAAAUAUUUCUACACGUUAACACAACAAAAAUUGACGUCUUAACGUGGCUUUUCUGGUAGUGGCCAAUCAGGGACCCUGAAUGAAGGCACUCGUACAUAUUCAUGAGGAAGAUGGAAUCAAUGAUGUCGAACCACAACGCAAGUGAGCAUGGGACCUACGUUUGUGCAUAAAUUACUAAUGUGGGCAUCCAGGCACACGUUACAGGAAUCUACGUAUACCGCAAAGGAAAUUCUGUGUAUGAAACGUAAACCAGAAUUUAGGUUUAGAAGAAGCCAAUCUAAACUUUCAGCGGGGAAACAGCGAAGAUUCAGAUUGAAGUGGAGAAGAAAGCUAGUUUGGUGAUGGCUCUGUGGAAGUUUUUGUGCAAUUGCAACCGCACAUUUAGGGAGUGCACAAGACUAGCAACAUCGGACGAUGGGGCAACAGACCAAGCAGCUUUGGCAAGAAUGCAAACAAUGGAAGCAAGUCUCCGGUGGGCAAGAGGAAGACAUGUUGAGCCGGAGUUAGCUGACCAGUUGUUGGAUCUGAUCUUGGAAUUUUGUCAGGAGAUUGGGGAAGAUCAACCACGGCCUCGAUUCUUGGUUAGGAAUGCUUAAGUCUAAAAAGGAGCAAAACCCACUUGUCAGUCCUGAGGUAGAGUACAGUACUGUCGGUGUCUUCAGCAGAAGGGAACUCAUCACAGGCACAACAACCAGCAAAGGAAGCCAUGAUGGCUGCUGUCGGGGAUGCUGCAAUUCAAGUAGUAACCACCCUAAAGCCUGCUGCACACUACAAGCUUUUGCCUCAAGACAAACAACUCUUGCAAUUUAAGUUCAAUAAGGUCGUAGUAAUUGUUACUGUUGAUCAUCCUAACUGUUAGAGAGACUGGAGCUUCAGGAGCUACAAACCAGAAGCCCACACCUUGCUCAGACAAUGUUAAGAAUUUAUCUGUGAUAACACAAAGGAAAAUCAAUGUCUGUGUGCUACAUUUGUAUUCACUUUACAUUAUUAAAUAAAAAUCAAAAACUGGUUCUAAUUUAAUGAUUACGUUUUAUUUUUUUCUGUCUUACUAGACAGCUGCUGGAGAUUCUCUUUGCCACAGUGAUAUCUCCUUAAUUGCCAAUGUGCCGAAGGCUCCAACACCUGUGCUGCUGGUGAGCGGGAACCCCUUUAGUGCUGGAGGUGAAAUCUCUCUUCACAUAGAGGAGCCAGAUGAUAUCUCAGUGGGAUUUGGUGCCCUACUGGGGAUCUAUUUCAUCUUUGGAGUUAGAUAUGCAGAGAAUACAAGGAAGACUGUUAUUUUUAUCCACCAGUGAAUGGUUGGUAUGAAGUCAAGUUCCAAUAGGAGUCAUUAUUCACCUAUACAGAUAUUGAUACACAGACAUUUUGUCAGCUGCCUGUGAUUAUUUUGAGACAUUAUAUUGUUGUUAUAUUGAGUACACACACACAUAUUUUUAUGGGAACAAGUACAAAACAGUGAGCCUCAUAUGAGUCCUCACACACAAGCGCGCACGCACUCACACACACACUCUCUUUCUCUCUAGUUCUGAGUCAAGUCCAUUGUAUUGAAUUCUUGGAUUAAUGGAUUUAUUGACAUUAUUAAAGGAGCUCAGCCUAUUACUUAGCUACUAAGAUGUCCAACCCAGGAGUGACCUGAUUGACGAGCUUAGCUUUAGCUUGAUGUUACUGUUCAUUGUGUGUUGCGUUCAGUACAGAAUCCACAGGGCGUUGUUUGGUUGCAGAAUAACAAUCUCUUUAUUUCCUCCACCGUGCUUAAAUGUGAACAAAGUGCAUUUUCCAGUUUCAUCGAAAACCAAACACUCUUCCUACAGCAUGACAAACAAACUUUUUAGCGCCACAGCGUUCUUUUGCCCUUCCGAGGUCAAACACCUGAUGACAGGAGUGACUUCCUACCUUGACUUAACAUGAGCUCUUGAUAGUAGCACAGCAACACCCAAUGUACAAAAAAGGAAAUAAUUACAUUCAGGUUAUUUCAACAAUGUAUUUGGUUCUUACAGCCAAUAUAUAAUGUUUAUUGUAUUUAUUCCUGUGUAAUAUUUUGUAUUUAUUGAGUUUUCAGGAUUUAUUUUUUGCAAAU